rnacentral:rRNA from 1 species
AGUGGGGAAUAUUGGACAAUGGGCGCAAGCCUGAUCCAGCCAUGCCGCGUGAGUGAUGAAGGCCCUAGGGUUGUAAAGCUCUUUCGGCGGGGAAGAUAAUGACGGUACCCGCAGAAGAAGCCCCGGCCAACUUCGUGCCAGCAGCCGCGGUAAUACGAAGGGGGCUAGCGUUGCUCGGAAUCACUGGGCGUAAAGCGCACGUAGGCGGGUCCUUAAGUCGGGGGUGAAAUCCUGGAGCUCAACUCCAGAACUGCCUUCGAUACUGAGGAUCUCGAGUCCGGGAGAGGUGAGUGGAACUGCGAGUGUAGAGGUGAAAUUCGUAGAUAUUCGCAAGAACACCAGUGGCGAAGGCGGCUCACUGGCCCGGUACUGACGCUGAGGUGCGAAAGCGUGGGGAGCAAA